GAAAUAAUCCUAUAUCCAAACGUUAAUUUUUUAUUUAAAAAUAAUAAUUUUUGAAUAAUUAAAAUAAGCUGGUAUAAUUAUUCUCACGAAUAUCUUUAUUUUUUAUUUUUCUUAUCCUCGGGAAUAAUCUAAUUUUCAUCCAAACGCUAUUUUUCUUAUUCUCAUACUUGUACAUAUCCCUGUAAUAAUUAAUUUUUGUUUAUUCUCGAACCAAACAGUGUGAUUAGUAUAGAAAAAUUAAUUUUUUAAUCUAAAAAAUUUAAAAUAAUAAUUUAAAUAAUUUAUAAAAUUUAUCUAAAAAAUUUUAAUCUUAACAAAAUAAUAAUACAGUGUGAUUAGUAUAGGAAAAUUAAUUU
rnacentral:lncRNA from 1 species